AGAAUCAACGCUGGCGGCGUGCCUAGCACAUGCAAGUCGAACGAGAAAGUGGAGCAAUCCAUGAGUAAAGUGGCGACCGGGUGAGUAACACGUGACUAACCUACCUUCGAGUGGGGGAUAACCUCGGGAAACCGAGGCUAAUACCGCAUAACAUCGUGAGAUCAAAGCAGCAAUGCGCUUGGAGAGGAGUUCGCGGCAGAUUAGUUAGUUGGCGGGGUAAUGGCCCACCAAGACGAUGAUCUGUA
rnacentral:rRNA from 1 species